rnacentral:rRNA from 1 species
UAGGGAAUCUUCGGCAAUGGACGAAAGUCUGACCGAGCAACGCCGCGUGAGUGAAGAAGGUUUUCGGAUCGUAAAACUCUGUUGUUAGAGGAGAACAAGGACGUUAGUAACUGAACGUCCCCUGACGGUAUCUAACCAGAAAGCCACGGCUAACUACGUGCCAGCAGCCGCGGUAAUACGUAGGUGGCAAGCGUUGUCCGGAUUUAUUGGGCGUAAAGCGAGCGCAGGCGGUUUCUUAAGUCUGAUGUGAAAGCCCCCGGCUCAACCGGGGAGGGUCAUUGGAAACUGGGAGACUUGAGUGCAGAAGAGGAGAGUGGAAUUCCAUGUGUAGCGGUGAAAUGCGUAGAUAUAUGGAGGAACACCAGUGGCGAAGGCGGCUCUCUGGUCUGUAACUGACGCUGAGGCUCGAAAGCGUGGGGAGCAAACAGG